UCUCCGUUGGUGAACCAGCGGAGGGAUCAUUACCGAGUUUACAACUCCCAAACCCAAUGUGAACGUUACCAAACUGUUGCCUCGGCGGGGUCACGCCCCGGGUGCGUCGCAGCCCCGGAACCAGGCGCCCGCCGGAGGAACCAACCAAACUCUUUCUGUAGUCCCCUCGCGGACGUUAUUUCUUACAGCUCUGAGCAAAAAUUCAAAAUGAAUCAAAACUUUCAACAACGGAUCUCUUGGUUCUGGCAUCGUUGAAGAACGCAGC
rnacentral:misc_RNA from 1 species